UUGCAAAUAAGGAAACAAAUCAAAUUGGAAGAAGGAAUCUCGCCACAGCUUUGACAGUGUCCACGAUUUCGAGGAUAUCUCUCUCAUACGAAUUCCGAAUUAGGUGAUUUUGGCGGCAUUGGAAAGCUAAUUUCAAGGGCUACAAUUCUUAUUUACACAAUAUUCCAAAAUUCGGACUCCAACAUGGCGAAAAUCGAAGAACAAGUCCUGAUGGGGGAAAGUGGCGGAAAUUGAUUCCUAUUAGGUUUCUACUACUUCCUUAUCAAGAAAAGCCUAUAAAAGCAACAUGUCUAUACACCAUAAGGACGAAAUUUGACACCACAAACGCGAAGAACGAAGAUCAACGAAGACUCAAGCAUAGUUUUUCUUAUUUCUUUUAUUUUUAUUUUGUUUAUCAUAAGAAUUACGAGUAGCUAAGUUUUUAUUCUAGGAUUUUGUUGGAACCCUAUGUAGGGAUUGCGAACCCUUUUUCUUGAGAUUAUGCAAUUAUGAUUUUAUGAUUAUUUCUUCUACUUGUUAUGAUUGUUAGUGCAUGAACUUGAUCAAUUUAUGUGCUUUAUCUGUGAUUAUUGGGAUUGACUCGACAGAGCUAUUUUGAUAAUUAGACGGUAAGUAAAAGAGCCUUCGAGUAGUUUUCACCGGAUGAGUGUGUCAAUUGCAUGUGGUGUCGUAGACAUACAGAUAUCACCUUAGGUAGCCAUUUACGAGACUUGUUAGUUAAUGCUUUAUUUAUAAUUGGUUUGCAUAGACAUAUAGUGAAUCGUUUAUGAAUAAUAGACUCAUAAUACACGCGACAGCGGGUUAUGAGUAAAUUAGUGUCUCGGGUUAAUAAUCAUGAAUCAUAUAUUGCAUAAUUGAGGGGUUUCGGGUGAGCAAUUCUUGCAUAGGGGGAAGAUAAAAUCCUAGGUUUGUUUUAUUGAUAUUUUCUCGUGUUUAUUUGCUUUCAUAAUUAGUUUAAUUAUUUAGUUGAUUAAAUUUGACAACCUUGCGUAGGCUGGAUAAAAAUCAUAAUUGUUAGAAUUUGGUACUUAGGAUUAGGUAAUUUGCGUAUUCCCUGUGGGAUCGACAUCCGACUCUCACGAGUCCACUUUAUUACUUGUUUGCGAUACGUGCACUUGCGUGUUGGUAUUUAGCACCCAACAAGUUUUUGGCGCCGUUGCCGGGGAAUACGGCUAAAUUAUCUAUUUAUUCUAAUAUCAAAUUUGAGCAAUUUUUUUUACUUCAGCCAUUUAAUUUUUAUUUUUAUUUUUAACUUUAAUUUUUAUUUUUUUUGUUUUUUGUUACAUGUCUGGUUACAAUCUUCGGGCACCUCAAACGGGAUAUGAAUGGCUUCCAUCUGACGAAUACCUCCAAAACACCUAUGAUAUGGCUCCGUUUUGUUCAGCAUGUGGUGGAAAUCAUUUUUCCGAUCAAUGUUGGAGAUCACCAAAGGCGACAAAUUUCGUCGAAAUUACCAACGGAGGUUAUUGGAACACUUACACCAACACAUACGAGCAAAGCUUUCAAGACCAAGAUUUGAACGAGUUUCAACAUAGAGAGCCACAAUUUGAUGAUUUUCAAAAUUAUUAUCCAAUGCAGCAGCAGACCACUGAUGAACAACUUGAUUUGGUAUCCCUUGUUGCCGAAUUCAUGAAGUCCACUCAAUCAUCAUUUCGAAACAUGGAGAUACAACUGGAAGAGAUGACGCUCAAAUUAAAAUCUGAGUCUCUUGAAAAUAUUCCAGACGAAAUCGACAAUGGUUAUAUCAAAGAAAAUUCGGGUGAAGCCUGCGGUGAGAAAAAUCUUCUAUGUCUGGAAAAUAGUGUCGAUGUGAAAGAAAUAGAAAUUACAAAGACAUUUGAGCAUGAUGAAUCUGAGAAGACAAUCGAGCUAAACCACGAAGAUGCCUCAGAACAAGAGAAGAAGGAGAUGGAUUUAAUGAUUGAAGAUAUUCUAGUUGUGGACCAUGUCGUUGAUCUAAAUGUAGAUUUGAAGGCAUCAGUAGAGGUUGAUGAGAAGAUGAAUGUGUUUGAAGUGGAGGUUAUACGCGGACGUGAGGUUUUUGUAUACCGAUUUGAGGGGGCGGGUGAUGAAGAUCCCAUCUUGGCUUCGUACCUAUUGAUUACAACCAAAAAAGACUACAAGCUAAGGUGGACGGUAACAUAUUGCAGUGAUAUCCAUGCCUUGAUUGGAAUUGAAGUGAUAGAGCUCAUGGAUGGAUGCGCAAUCUACAAGGCUUUGGAUUGGACAUAACAAUUUCAAGAACCAAAGUCUGGCUGAAGACUUAAAAUUUAGCGCUUCUCGGGAGGCAACCCGAGCUUUACUGUUUUUCAUAUUUUUCUUUAAUUUUAUGUUUUAUUUUUAUUUUCUUAGGCAUGCAUUCUAAUUAAUUUAUUUGAUUUCUUAUUUUUAAGGUCGGAAUUGCGAUCGGGACGGUCACCUGAGAGACAGAGAGGGCAUCUUCGCAAGAGGAAAAUCAAAUUUCUUUCCCACAAAUUCUCACACCCCGAAGAUAACGAUUCCGACUAAAUCAGGUGUUUUCUAUCCUUAAACUUUGUGCUAAUUUCGUUGAGGGUAACGAAAAUUUUAAGUUUGGGGGUGAAAAAACAUGUUUUUUUUUUUGUGCUUUAAUUUUUUAGUUUGCAUGCCUUAAGUUUUUUUAUUUGAGUUAUUUUAUUUUAGUUAUUUCUUUCGAAAAAAAAAUAAAAAAAAAUUGCUUGAGAUAAAUGCUUCGAUGAAUCAUGAUGAUGAAAGAUGGUCGAUGUUUAAUGAUGAAAUUGCUUGUUUUAUCUUGAUUUUGAUCGAAUUUUGGUGAGCUUUUGAUUCAAAGUUUCGUAAGAAGGAGUCAUUGUUAGGAAUCUCGAAUUAUGCGUUGCUUUGGUUGAAAGUUUUGUGUUUUAAAAUAUGAGUUAAUUUAUGUUAUAUCAUAUGCUAUUCGGUUUUAGAACUUGUCUUAUGAAUUUACAAAGUGAAAUAUUAAAUUGUUGAGCAAUUUGGGAAGUGAUUUGGGCCAUCUUUGAACCGUUUGAGCCUUUCAAGCCUACCUUUAAAUUUUUAUCAUUCGAACCUUGAUUGAGCCUUGGAGAAACGGUGUUCUUUCUUUUAGCCAAUGUGUAUAAGGUAGAAUAAAUGGAGAUUCUUGAAAAAUUACCCUUUGGAGUUCGGUUGGAAACUUUUAUAAGGUCCUUCUUCUUCGUCUACCAAAAAAAAAAAAAAAAAAAAAAAAAAAAAGAAAUACAAAAAAAAAUAAUAAGAAAGAGAAAGAAAAAGAAGAAGAAGAGACUAGAAGGGGAAGUAAGGACUAGUUGUUGAAUUUUUGUUUGAAAGCUCGAUCCAUUGUCUUAAGAGCAAAAGUGGAGACUUUUGAACUCUUAAAAAUCGAGUUUAUUAAAAGUCCUUGGAGGUGAAUUCAUUGUUUCAAACGCUUAUCUUUCAAAAUUUGGCGUAAUCAUCUCAAUUCAAGAAGCAUAGCCACCUAUAUCCAUAUCUCCUACCUCGAACCAAAAAGCCCAACAUUUGAAAGCCAAAAAGUCCCAAUGAUCCCAAUAGCUCAAUUAUUUGAUACUAGCCGACUAAAGAAAUUUGGUGAGUAUUUGGAGUUGAAUAUUAAUAUGUAAGUAUAAAUUUUCUCAAUUUUUAAUGUACAAAUAUGGGAUACUUGAAGCGAUAGCAUGGUUUGUGGUUUUUAGCAAUGGUGAGUGAAUACGUAUCUUUGAAUUACGAGCUUGUAAAUUUUUGAGAAUUUUCAUUAUAAUUACAAGUUCUGAAAACGUGAAGUUGGUCAUUAAUCUAUGUGAUGAGAUGCGGUAGUUGAGUUUUUUCGCUUACGAUUAGAUUUUGCUUGAGGACAAACAAAAGUUCAAGUUUGGGGGUGUGUUGAGUGUAGAUAUUACACUCAAUACGUUAACUUUACGUGGAUUUUUUGUUUAGAUUUAAUUAUAUUUGUGCUUUAAUUGAUUGAUUUUGUGUUUUAUAGGUGAAAAACGAGAAUUAGGUGUCCAUGAAGGAAAAAAGAUCAAAAAGAAAGGAAAAAGUUGCAAAUAAGGAAACAAAUCAAAUUGGAAGAAGGAAUCUCGCCACAGCUUUGACAGUGUCCACGAUUUCGAGGAUAUCUCUCUCAUACGAAUUCCGAAUUAGGUGAUUUUGGCGGCAUUGGAAAGCUAAUUUCAAGGGCUACAAUUCUUAUUUACACAAUAUUCCAAAAUUCGGACUCCAACAUGGCGAAAAUCGAAGAACAAGUCCUGAUGGG
rnacentral:lncRNA from 1 species